rnacentral:antisense_RNA from 2 species
CUUCACCGAUCCGAUCCACAGUGGGCGAUCGUCGGCCCGUGCCUGGCCGUAGGUCUCCAGCAGCGCGUGCGCCUC